rnacentral:rRNA from 1 species
CCCUUAGAUGUCCUGGGCCGCACGCGCGCUACACUGACAUGUUCAACAAGCCUCCUAGUUCGACAGGAUUUGGGAAAUCUUUGAACGCAUGUCGUGAUAGGGAUAGAUCAUUGCAAUUAUUGAUCUUGAACGAGGAAUUCCUAGUAAACGCGAGUCAUCAGCUCGCAUUGAUUACGUCCCUGCCCUUUGUACAUACCGCCCGUCGCACCUACCGAUUGAAUGUUUCGGUGAAGAUUCCGGAUAGGACUUUUUUGAUUUAUUUCAAUUCUGUCUUAAAAGCUAUCUAAACCUCAACAUUUAGAGGAAGGUGAAGUCGUAACA